rnacentral:rRNA from 1 species
AGAGUUUGAUCCUGGCUCAGGAUGAACGCUAGCUACAGGCUUAACACAUGCAAGUCGAGGGGCAGCAUGACCUAGCAAUAGGUUGAUGGCGACCGGCGCACGGGUGAGUAACACGUAUCCAACCUGCCGAUUAUUCCGGGAUAGCCUUUCGAAAGAAAGAUUAAUACUGGAUAGCAUAACGAGAAGGCAUCUUCUUGUUAUUAAAGAAUUUCGAUAAUCGAUGGGGAUGCGUUCCAUUAGUUUGUUGGCGGGGUAACGGCCCACCAAGACAUCGAUGGAUAGGGGUUCUGAGAGGAAGGUCCCCCACAUUGGAACUGAGACACGGUCCAAACUCCUACGGGAGGCAGCAGUGAGGAAUAUUGGUCAAUGGGCGAGAGCCUGAACCAGCCAAGUAGCGUGAAGGAUGACUGCCCUAUGGGUUGUAAACUUCUUUUAUAAAGGAAUAAAGUCGGGUAUGGAUACCCGUUUGUAUGUACUUUAUGAAUAAGGAUCGGCUAACUCCGUGCCAGCAGCCGCGGUAAUACGGAGGAUCCGAGCGUUAUCCGGAUUUAUUGGGUUUAAAGGGAGCGUAGGCGGAUUAUUAAGUCAGUUGUGAAAGUUUGCGGCUCAACCGUAAAAUUGCAGUUGAUACUGGUAGUCUUGAGUGCAGCAGAGGUAGGCGGAAUUCGUGGUGUAGCGGUGAAAUGCUUAGAUAUCACGAAGAACUCCGAUUGCGAAGGCAGCCUGCUAAGCUGCAACUGACAUUGAGGCUCGAAAGUGUGGGUAUCAAACAGGAUUAGAUACCCUGGUAGUCCACACGGUAAACGAUGAAUACUCGCUGUUUGCGAUAUACAGCAAGCGGCCAAGCGAAAGCAUUAAGUAUUCCACCUGGGGAGUACGCCGGCAACGGUGAAACUCAAAGGAAU